CCACACUACACCGCGGCAACUAAGCGGGAAACCAACAAAAGAAAGAUGGCUGCCGAUCUCCACGGACAGGUUGACACAUCGGCCGGGAUGCUGCGAUGCGUUCAGGCAGCUCUGCACACCUUGAUGCCUCACGGGGUGCAAUUACCGGUCCUUACGUGCCAUCCAGGAGGCGUGGGUGAGUUAUACAGAAUCCCUGAAAGGAUGUGGGUGGCUGCAGUGCAGGCUGCACUUUGGACAAAGGAUGCAAAAUUGGCAGCCACAUCUGAGGGGUGAGGCUCCUGCAGGACUCUCUUCUCCAAUUGGGCGUAGCGCCGCAGCAUGUCAUUGUACACCUGUAAUGGAUUCAGACGGAGAGAAAAGGUCACAUGCAGGAACUGAAUUCCUACUUUUCCUGUGUGUGUGUGUGUGUGUGUGUGUGCGCGCGCGCACGUAUACCUGUUGUGCAGUGGGCUGUGGUGUGGCAACAAGUCGUGCUUCCGGAGCUUUCUUCAGCACAUCGAAGAAGGAAAGUCCUGAUUGGUCAACGACGCCUGAAAGAACAUCACCCAAUCAGAGAGAGUUCAUCGAUCGUCAUGCAGAGAUGAUGGGAACCUGAGAGGUGAUGGUGUGGUUGGGUGCUGCUGGUACCUGAAGUCGGGUAGUUGGGAGUCAAAGUGGACAUGGUUCUGAUGGAUCACGUCCAAGUCUUCAUUGAUGGCGACCACUUUGAGCUGCACAAACAAGUCCACCAGGUCAGUGAACCAUGACACAGCAUUCAGCAGUUUAAGUGUGAUCGUGUUACCACGAUGGUAAAAACCAAAGCCUAACUUCAACUUUUAAUGUGCUGACAAUGUCGCUUGUGUUCUAAUCAUUAACGUAUUCAUUUGUCGAAUAUAGCACGUGAUACGUUAACAGGCGUUGUCACAAUUCUGGUAUUUCGUAAACUCUAGUCUGCAAGUGUGGACAACUUUAAUACAACCAAAGCGUUUAACAAGUUAGGAAAACAAUUAAAUGUACCUGUUGAGUGCUGAAGUCAAAGCCCAGGUAAACUUCCUUACGGUCCUGCACGGCCGCCAUCUUGAUAGCACAUGUGCGAGGAGGAGGAGGAGUCACCUGUUAAAGAGACAGGCACCUUUUGCUUGGCUCGGAUGGCUCGUUGCUAGGAGACGGCAGCAUCUUGAAGACUGCUGCUAGCAAGCUUAACAACUGAUUGGUGCAUUUUAAUUAAACAAAACCAACAAGUGGUUUUUUCAUCUAAAAUACAUUUAUUACACAAAAAGAGCUUCGUGUGAGGACAGGCACUUGAUCCUUCAUGUUAGUGGAAAUCAGUCAUGACUAUGUCAGUCAAUCACAAUGGCCGCCAUUAAGUUCAGUCAUGUGGUCACAGCUUGGCCUUAGCCUGGAAGAAACUCAUGACAGCGUUGAAGCACUCAUCCGAUGUCCAGCGUUCGACCAGACGCUCCACCUCGGCGUCGUUCACGGCGUGGAGCUGCUCUUUCUCCAUUGAGCGGAUCAGCUGUUUGGACAGCGCCAGAGACUGGGGGGUGGACACAAAUCAUAUGUUUUGUUUUGUCUUUUUAGAGGAUGUCCCACUAACCGAACACCUGAUGUUGGUGUGUGUGUGUGUCUACUGUACAUUUGGAGGCAGCUUGGCGUAGCUCCUGAGUCGGCUCCAGACCUCCGACUGGAAGCUGCUGUCAGGGAACACCUCGGUGACCAGACCCAGCUGACACGCCUGGACCGCCGUUAGCUUCUUGUUGAACAGCAACAUCUCACUUGCCUACACACACACACACACACACACACACACAUUUCAACCACCUGUGUGUUUAUACAUGCGAGUGUGCUGCACGUGCACGUACCUUACCAGGUCCCAUAAGGCGAGGGAAGGUGUAAGAUGAGCAGCCUUCUGGACUCUGACCAAGCUGGCUGAAAGGAGUGUGGAAGGUGGCCUACAUAGAAAUACAAUAUUACUGCAGUGCAACCUCAAUAACAGUCAAUAUGAAGUACUGCGUGUGCGUACACUCUCCGUGGCGUACACCAGGUCAAACAUUCCCAAAAUAGUGACGGAGAUUCCCACAGCUGGACCAUUCACCACGGCAACCAGAGGCUUGGGGAAGUCUAUGUAGGCUUUCACGUACCUCCUGUCCGGGGCGACACAGGGCAAAGAUCGUUCCUCACAAGUCAUGUGAUCAAACCCAUCGUUGAGUGGGCGGUCACCUGAGCAGCUCUCCGCCUGCUUUGGCCAUCUCUUCCACACCUCCUUCAGGGAUCUUAGUGAAGUUGCUAAGGUCGUUUCCACUGCAGUAGAAGUCCCCGGCACCUGUGUGUGUGUGUGUGUGUGUGUGUGUGUGUGUGUGUGGACAAACACACGUGUGGCUAUCACUAUCACGUGUGGCGGGACAAUUAGCUGUGUGUGUGUUACCAGUGAAGACGGUGAGGACACAGGUAUCUCUAGCCGCUUGCUGCAGAGCAUCAAUGAUCUCCUCGUACAUCUAGAACACACCACUCAUGAUGAGGGCCAUGAUUAUUUGUAACCAGGACAUGAAAUGGUCGCUCACCUCCGUGGUGAUGGCGUUCUUCUUAGCAGGUCUGUUGAGCUUGAUGGUGGUGAUGUCAUCUUCCGUGCUGACCAGCAGGGUGUUGUAGACGUGGUCGCUCGCAGCCGGCUGGGCCGACACUCCCUGGGCGGAGCUUCCACCCUCCGCUUCCACCAAUGAGCCAAUCAGGUUGCAGUACUGUUUCCGGGCCUCGUCCUGUCAAGAAUAUCGCCAACACUUGCUGUCAUUUCCUGUCAAAUAUUUAUUUUUAUCUUUUGGCUUUUGUGCAUCUUUGACAGACAGGAAGUUAUAAAAUAAAAGCACAGUUGACCUGUGAUAUGGAGCCCA